AUAUCAAAAACGCGUUUUUCCCCUCUCUCAUCUCUUUUCUUUCUCUGCUGUUUCAACCCUCAAUUCAUCUCUUCCAGUUUUCCCUCAUGGCCGUCUCUGCAGCCAUAGACCUUCUCUCAGGCCGCUGCCACUGCCAUCGCCGCUCCUCCGUUCCGAAUGACAUCCUCUCAGUCUGCGUCCUCCACCUCUGGAAUUUUCUCAUCGAAGAAGGACAUUUUCGCCCUCCUCUCUAGAAGAUCAAAUGCUACGGGUUUCUCAAUAUGAGUUGCAGAUGUAUUUAGAAAAAACAUUGUGUCGAAGAUCAUCAAUACUUGCGGCCUCCCUACUCUCCAGUCUCCACCGAGAAUCAUCAUCGCCGUAUCUUCAUCUGGCAUUUUUCACUGGCCAUCAUCGUUCUCUCCUCUUCGUCACCGCGAUCACCGUUCUCUCUGCUUCGUCCUCUAAGACCUCAAAUCCCUGAUUUCAAUUUCGAUUGUGGAUGGCAAGCUUGGAGGUUGAAAAAUGCAAUCCCGUCGCCGCUUACACAGUCACACUCAGCCGCCGCAAUGGUCCUUCAGAACUACUUCAAACCCUAAUUUUGGAACUCCUUGGAGGCUGAAAAUGGAAUCCCAUGAAGCAUUUUUUAAUAACAGUGUUGCAUAUGUCAAGGACCAGUGCAGGUGUUCCAUGCCUCAGAAUCAUCUUAGAGGAGAGCCCCUCAAGCUUGUGGGUUGUGGCCAAUCCGAGAGAACCUUUGUUUUCAGAUUAAAGAUGCUACUUAAGUUGUCUUAUUGAUGAUUGUUCCUUACAGUUCAUGGUUCUGCAGACCCAGUUAUCCCUGUCAAAGAUGCACAUGAGUUUGCCAAGAUUAUACCUAACCACAAAUUACAUAUCAAAGAAGGAGCUGAUCAUGGUUACACUAAUCCCUUUGCUUCUAUUAAUCAGUGAUUUCAAGGGCUUGAUCCAGUCUGAAUCAACAAUCGCCAUGUGGUCAGGUUCUGCAACUGGUGGUACUAUUGCCAAGGAUGCCAUUGGAAAUUAUGUAUUUGCAGAGCAAUGGCUCAAGACACAUGGGCCCGGUGACCGUACGCUUACACAAGGAUUGAAGGUACCAAGUGUUUACAGCCGUUAAUUGGCUUGUGUUUUCAUAGAUCCUCCACAAGCUGCAGUAUAUAAUUUUGAAAGCAAUUGUUUUCUCAGACUAUUAUAGCAUUAUGCUUUAAUGUUCAAUGCCAUUUCCCAUUGCUUAUUUCCUUAAUCUCAAUGUUAUUUGUCUUAGCUCAACAAAAUUAUCUUGCUAUACUAUGCAAAAUUUAUGUGGUGACAAUGAAAGAUGAACUUAAAUUGCAAUUCUAGCCAUGACAAGUUAACAACCCAAGACCUUGCCUUAUCUAAAGGGCUUCCAGAUUUCUCCUCGAAGAAGGACAUGUUAGCCAUCCUCUCUAGAAGAUCAAAGGCUACGGAAUUCCUCUCUCUAUGUCCAAUUUUGCUGAUAUGAAAAAUAACCAUAGCAGUAAAAACUGGCACUAAUGCAUUCUCGAUAGAUAAAGAUAGCUGAGGAAUUCAAUGUUGCAGUUACCAUGAAAAAUCAUGGUAAAUUCUGCACUUUUGGAUGAAACUUCCCCGGUUAAUUUCUCCUUCUCAAGUCCCAAAGCUGAUAGUCUAAAAGGUGUUGUGUAAAAACAAUAAGCAGAAAUUAAUUAGUGAUUUGAAUUUUAUGUUUCUUUGUCUUUUUUCAAAAGUUAAUUUAAAAAACGUAAUGACCCCAUAGAUUAAGGAGUGAAUUUUGAACUUAAGUUAAUGCAUUUAGGAAAGCAAUUAUGUAUUGAAAGUGGUCUUCCAUUGAUAAGUGGCAUUGAAAGUCAUUCAAUCUUUUAUGUAUGUAUAUUCGUAGGUGAGAGGCCAAACUAUGUUGAACAGAUUUUUCGUUCCAUUCUGGUUAGAGUUUUCAUUUUGACUAUCUUCCCCUGAGUAAGUUCUGAAUGUUUAAUUUGUGUGAAGCUAUUGCAGCAUGGCUUUUAAGAUCAUUGGCAAUUUUGGCUAAGCAUGAUUAAUCUAUUUUUAAUGCUUAAACUACUUUUACUAACUUAGCUUCUUUUCUUUCUUUUGCGAUGGUUAUACACUUUGUGUAGUGAUUACCUGAUUAUUGGUUAACAUACUUUAUGUUUUGUUUUUUUUUUUUGUUGAUUUGAUAUUGAAUCUAAUCAUUUCUACAAAGUUGAUUCUGUAUAGAGAGCUCGGAGUUGAAAGUGUGCUAAAUCUAUCCAUUUAAUGUUUUAGAUGUCAUUCUUUGUCAUUUAAGAAUCUAUUGACUAAAAUCACUCCUUUUAAUCGUUAUGUAUGAAUACUUUGCAACCAAAUGUUGUAGGUAUGGAUGAAGCAUACAAAUAAUUUGAUACUGAUAUAAAAAUACCAUUUUUUUGCUUCAAGAUGUUAGGAGUUUGGUUUAAAUUGCAAAUCCAUAGCUGAAUUGAGUAGUGAUAAAAAUGAAAAUGAUGGAGCACUUGCAAGAAUUCUCGAUGUGCUCAAGAGAGUUCACUGCGCAUUGUUUGAUAUUUUUAUGUGUUAUCUUUGUUCAGUACUUCUCCCUCUCUAGAUUCUCAUCUUCUCCUCACGGCUAUCUCAAGUUGUAUCGUGGAACCUAUGGACAUCGUUGGCGGAAAAUGCUUCGCUUCCUAAAAGUACUCAAGAAAUCAGUUUCAUGAGUGAGAUUGCAGCCCUUAAUUUUGGUGUCUUCUGCCAAGGGGAAGGAGGAAGGGGGAAUCACACUUGGAGAAGGUGUUGAGGCUUUAAAAGAGGCAGGUUUGACUAUAAUUUGAGCAAUAGGAUGUAGAAGCAUUGCUGGAUGAGAACAUUAGUAAGAGGAAUCUCUUAAGUUCGAGAAUAAUGUAAUCAAUAUCGUCAUUCUCACUCUGAGGGCUGUUUUUUUUGUCAAAUUAGUAAUUAGUAAUCGAUUCAACAUGAUUUAUAUCAGUUCAUGAAUAUUGUAAACUGUAUUAGAGCAUCUCCAAUGGGGGUUGCUUAAACCAGUUGGCGCACUUAAGCAACGUUGCUUAGUUUGGAGCACCAUUGAUGCUAUAAUUUUUCAGAAAUUGAUAUUUGAUUAUUAACUCUUUCUAACCUUCAUUUAAA